AAUUUUUUUUUUUUUUCCUCCGGGCAGUGGUCGCUUCAGAUACCUCAGAUGGAGCCGGAGAUGGCGAAUGAGCCUUCUCCGAUGGCUUCAGCGUUUUGAUUUCUGUAGCUUUUGUUCAAUCUUUGAUUAGCGAGUUUUUCAUUGAAGUGGCAGUUCUGAAGUUCAGAAUUUCACUACAAUGGCGCCCCCAAUCACGUACUCUGCAAUCGACGACAAAGAUUUCGAUGAUGCGGCUUUGUGGGCUGUAAUCGACUCUGCUGCUGCUGCUGCGACUUCUUCCUCCUCCUCGUCUACAUCUCGUAAAUCUCUAGCACUUAAUUGCGUCAAUAAAUCAAACCCUUCCCCGCCGCCAAAAUUCCCAAAAAGCCCUAGAACUCCAUUCCAGGCGCAGAAAAAUUCCAGGGUUUUUGUAGAGGGUCAAGUGGUGCAUGAGCCUUGGGUGUUUCAACCUCCUCGGAAAAUUGCAAGGACAUGUGCAUCUGAAAUGAGUGAGAGAAGUCCUCUAGCGGUUGUCUGUAACAAUGCGCUACGGAAUCCGCCCGCGCCGGUAUAUUUGUCUCCCGAAGCGUAUUUGUCGCCGCAGAUUGCUUCUAGAUCUGAAGGCUCACCAGCUUUUAGUGGAAGUGGGCUGACCGAGGAAAGGGAAGUUGCAAGGCAUAGCCUCUCUGGGCAGUUCCCUUCAGUGUCUCUCUUUAAGGAGUAUCAAAAUGCGGCAAUGGCGAUUUUAGAGAAAUCGGACUUCACCAUGAUUGCUGGGAACCCUUUCAUAAAAAAAUCAGGAUGGAGGAAAAUAUCAUUUUAUUUCAAUCUCUCUUUUGAAAUCAAGGACAAGACAAUUGAAUUUGACGAUAACCGCAAUGUCCAGCGUGCUGAAUUUGUUGUUCGAGCAUAUAUGCAAGGUGGUAGAUUUUGUGAUGGAUGGGGCUCGUGUGAACGACGUGAGAAGAGAUUUAUAAAGCCAAAUCAUGAUAUUCCUAGCACAGCAGAAACGAGGGCAAAGAAUAAGGCAUGCCAAGACCUGCUUGGCAUUGGAGAGUAUCGACCUGGUGCAUCCCAGGGGCAAAAGUAAAGACUUGCCAGAUUGAUUCAGCCCACAAAAGUUCAAAGAAUGCAAGUUGUAACCAAGGUGAGAUCUCUCAAGGAACAACUGUAAUGGAGAAAACACCAUCUACCAAAGAGAAGUUCAUCAUGGAUUCUUGUAAUGUUGUAGGCACUUUCUUAUCUUUGUUUGGAGGAUCGUUUGGUUGUUGCGAAGUGAUGUUACUUUCUUGGAUGCCUGCUAUACAGCACUUUAUCAUUAUUCCUCGGUCGGUGCAGGCCAUUGGUUUAGUGAUACACUUGAGUUUUUCUGUUCGUGCUCGAGCUGGAUUUGUGGCCCAUUGUCUGAAAAGGAAAUUGGUUCUGCGGAUGAAGCAAUUAACUUACCAUAACGUGGGACCUUCAUAAAUGUUUCAUUAUCUUGGGAGCUGAAUUUUCCACAUUUUUGGAUGGA